rnacentral:lncRNA from 1 species
AAUUUAAAUACUGUGCUUAACAUAUUUUACUAAGAAACAGAAAUAUUGAAUUAUUGUUCUAUAACGUAAUCGUGUGUUGUUGUUUUAUAUCUAUACAAUAUAUACCCCUGUAUUAAUGGAGACCAUUGCUACACUAGGGAGAGGCAUGGCCUCUUCAGAGUCCACAGCAGGUGGCCGGGAUGUCCAGUUCCAAUGUUGUUCCCGACUCUGUGACUCAAAGCGGAGCCCCUCACUGCUUGGCCUCAGGCUUCUCUUGGUAAUGUAGACGGUAAUAACUCACCUACCUCGCAAGGAUGUUGUCACGAAUCAACACCAGGUCCUCCCCAAGAAUCCACAAAGGAAAACAAAUUCACAGCUUCCUGUUGCAAAUGUGGAUGAAAAGAAAACAGCCCCACAGAAACCCGGUGGAGAUCUGGAUUGUCAACAUUUCAAUAGAACAUUGCGUUGGGCUGCUUUGGCAUGAAUAACAUCAACACAAAACUAGACAUCGUGCUAGAGCUGGUUCUUCAGGACCAUAAUAUACAUGUAUUUUCAGAGCAAGGAAACACUCAGUUAUUCUUUUUCAUUUCUGGAGACUUGAUUUCUAAAUCCCAAAAGAGUGAUCGAGGAGCCUGUGAAUCUUAUCCAAUGGAUUUACUUAAUAUAGAAUGGCUAUGUUGGUUAUCCAGUGAGUGAUCACAUUACUUCCCUUCUUGUUAUUUGCAAGUAUUGCUUCACUAGAUAUUUAACCAGUUGAUCAAGAGAGCUGGAAGGAAACUGUAUUUUUAAGGGCAGCAUGGUUUUAUGACUAAUUGGGAGAUUCUCCCUGAAAUUCUUCAUCAAUAAUAGCCAGUCCCUAAGACUCUAAAUAUUUACCAUAUACACAAUCCAUAUUUGAGUUGGGAGUUAUAACUCUGCCAGUCAUCCCAAUAAAGUAAACGUGGCUUUGGUGAUGAUUUUAAAAAGAAAGCAGGCUGGGUGCGGUGGCUCACGCCUGUCACCCCAGCGCUUCGGGAGGCCAAGGCAGGAAGAUUGCUUGAGGCCAGGAGUUUGAGACCAGCCUGGGUAGCAUAGCAAGAUCCUGCCUCUAAAAAUAAAUAAAUACAGAAAGGAAAGAAGGAAUCAGAGUAGGAGUGGAGACAAACCUACCAAGUUCACACUCAGACAAAAGCGGCCUGAGUUGGUUUUAAAAAGGACAUCUAAAUGGAGAAAAAAACAAACAAACUAAAAUUUGUUAGUUCUCAAGUUGUCCCCUGAAGUAUUCAUCCACAGCCAUGGGACACUCAUAGGCUUGGUGUCAUGGGGCCCCUUCACUGUCACUAUCUGCUGUAUGUGCUACGAGAAGAGAAUGUCAUCCAUUACGGAAUGACCAUCAUUGCCAUUUCCUUUUGAGGCCUGGCAAAAUGCUACCACCAGGAGCUGCAUCCCGGGCUUUUCUGCCAAGCAGCAGCAGCAGAUGCCUACCAGACACAGCAAGCCCCUAAUCAGGGGAGUCUGGGCAGCGGUGGUGACUCCAUGGGGCCACACUGUCCUUCUGUGGCAGCCAGAAAAGUGACCCCCAUACCAAGAGUGUCAGAAAUGGGUUCAUGUCUCCCAAGAGAACAUUUCAUUCUGCAGAACUUUCUUUCAUUUGGAUGCUUUAGCUAUCCCUCUAGAGAUGGCUUUCCUUUCUUUUAGACUUGUUUCUGUGCUAAACAAACUAUCAACCUCCAUUCCCCCCACCCCGAAAUAUCCCAGGAAUUACUUUCCAGGAGGGAAAGAAUGCAAAACAAAAACACGUUAAUUUGACAUCCUCUGGUGGAUGUCCAUGCCAGAAAUUAUGAGGAGCAGGGUGACUACUACCCAUUAACAUUCCUGGAUUUAUUUCCCAAGAGGCAAAAAGGAAAACAAACACAAUUAGAGACUAUAUCUUGGAUUUCAGAACCACUAACACUAACUUAGUGCCUUAUGUAUCCUCAAGUGUUGAUUUUAAACAAUGAUUUAUUCUAUGAGAACACUUCUCUCUCCUGUGGAAUUCAAGAUGACCUUCCGAUGGGCCUACCAGUUGAAAACUUCCAUUUGAGCAAUGACAGUUUUUAUGCUGCCUGUUCUCUUCCCAAGCCCCAUCACCUUUAUCUGCCCCCCCAAAUCAAAUCAUUGCACACACCAUCAAAGAUCAAUACUGUGGGCCUCCACUGCAUUGUCACUGGCCACCAGCCUAUCAAAUAAUUGAAUCUCUGCUUGUCCAACCAUUGGAGAGGAAGUGGAAGAGUGAGAUGACAUCCAUGCUUUGUAAACAACAAGCUUUAGGUACCUGAACCUGAUAGAAACAAGGAAUGCUGAAAAUGUCCCCACUGACUUAAAAGAAUGCUGUAAAGAGAUGCUUCGCAGACUUCCUAGGUCCUGUGGCACAGAGAAUGAAAACUAGCGUCUUUAACAAGUCAAAGCAGACAAAGAAACAAAAGGUCUGCGGAUACACUUUGCAUCUGUGUAACUCUGGGCACCAUUCGGGCCCUCUCUGUGCUACUGUUUGUCUCAUGUCUGAGUGGUUCUUAGUGAGAGGGGUCUGAUCACAUUUUUGGUUGAUCUCACCCUUUGAAAAAUGUGGGGGAUUUUUUUGAAAUGCAGUUAAUGGUUUGUUACAAGUGCCUCGAUGAACCUGGGAUUGAUAGAAGCUCAUUUCCCACCAGCCUGUGGCUAUACUCAGUGACUCUGAUUCAUUCUGUUUCUUUUUAGGAACUUUUAUUGAACUAAAUUCCAAGGGGGGAGAAAAGACCAUAAGAAUUUCUUGAUAAGAUCAGAUCCAGGGUCCAUCUGUCUCAGGAAUUCUAUCCUACAAUUAACUUUUUUUUUUCCCAUACGUAUGACCCCUGGUGUGUGUUUCUGUGUCCAAAAUUCAUUUCAUUAUUUUUAACUUUAGGAAUGUAAAACGCUGCCAUUACUUGCAUAGAACAGCCACUUCCUAUAAUGAAAGAUACUUUGUUAUUGUUUAUUCAAACUCAGUCCUUACAAACAGCCCCAUAUAUUGUGGACAAAUGUUUCAUUCUUUUAUCUUUCUGUACUUGUUCCCAAUGAACUGGUGUGCUUUAUUAUACACCUUUUAAAGGCAAAAUUAAUAUAACUUCCAUUUGGCCCAAGGUAAAAAAUUUUCCAAUUUGAUUUGGAUUAGCAUCUUUCAUUUUCCUUUUAUAUGUUGUUAACAAAAUAGCUGCUUACCAUUUUCACCUUAUUGACUUAAAUUGACGGAGGCUUUUGAAUAGCCCUGACAUCAACCCCAGUUCGCAGCCUGUCUUUCUCAUUUGAGAGAAUUCCCAUCUUUGGCUGAAUUAUGAAGAUGCUGCUUUAUACAGUGACUCAAUGGGUAUUCCUCAGAAGUUUCUUGAAGAUGUAAAAAUGAAAUUUUCUUAUUUUUGACCCAUUAGCAGUCUUGUAUUUACAAAGUUCUAAAACUUCAC